UCAUUAAGUAUUUUUAGAAAGAUUAUGAUAUAUUCAUUUAUUUAUUUUAUAUUUAUUACGUUUUGAAAAUAAAUGGAAGUAAAGUAGAAAUUCAAUAAAUUUUGAAAUUUUAUUACAAAAAAGGAAAGAAUACAAUUUAGGGUGCUAAAAAAAUUUUUGAUGUUUAUGGACUUGAUGCAGUAUCAGUAUGACUGGUACAAAGCUGGUUCAAGAGUUUUCAAUCUAGAAAUUUUGAUAUAAGUGAUGUACCUCGCUCUGGUCGGCCAAUGAUUGAAAAAGUCUAUGAAAUCAUGAAAAAAAUUGAGUAAGACCGGCACAUUAGCAGUUCUGAUGUCGCUAAACAAUUAAACAUUGACCAAAAAACAGUUUUAAACCAUUCGAAGAAGGCGGCCAUAUGACUUAACAAUGAAAAAUUUAAUGGAUCAAAUUAACAUCUGAGAAUCGUUGUUAAAACCGGACCAUUUUUGAAUCAGCUUAUUAUGGGCGAGGAAAAAUGGAUCACGUACGAUAACAAUGUACGAAAAAAAUCAUCGUUGAAGGAAAGUGAAGCUCCGCAGAUGGUGGCACAGCCAGGAUUAUUAUGCCAAGCAAUCGAGAUAAAACGAUUAAAAUUGAUCAAUAGAAAAGGUAUCAUCUUCCAUCACGACAAUGAUAGAUCACACACAUGGUGAUCCAUAAAAAAUUGAGAGAAUUUGGCUGGAGAAUUUCAAUGAAUUCAUUGUAUUUGCAUCCUGAUCUUGCACUGUCAGAGUAUUAUUUGUUUUGGUCUUUGGAAAAUUCCCUUAGUGGUGUAAAGC